rnacentral:rRNA from 1 species
UACGUAGGGUGCAAGCGUUGUCCGGAAUUAUUGGGCGUAAAGAGCUCGUAGGCGGUUUGUCGCGUCUGCUGUGAAAACUCGGGGCUUAACUCCGGGCCUGCAGUGGGUACGGGCAGACUAGAGUGCGGUAGGGGAGACUGGAAUUCCUGGUGUAGCGGUGAAAUGCGCAGAUAUCAGGAGGAACACCGGUGGCGAAGGCGGGUCUCUGGGCCGAAACUGACGCUGAGGAGCGAAAGCGUGGGGAGCAAACAGG